rnacentral:rRNA from 1 species
GACGAGGCACUACGGUGCUGAAGCAACAAAUGCCCUGCUUCCAGGAAAAGCCUCUAAGCAUCAGGUAACACGAAAUCGUACCCCAAACCGACACAGGUGGUCAGGUAGAGAAUACCAAGGCGCUUGAGAGAACUCGGGUGAAGGAACUAGGCAAAAUGGUGCCGUAACUUCGGGAGAAGGCACGCUGACACGUAGGUGAAGUGAUUUACUCAUGGAGCUGAAGUCAGUCGAAGAUACCAGCUGGCUGCAACUGUUUAUUAAAAACACAGCACUGUGCAAACACGAAAGUGGACGUAUACGGUGUGACGCCUGCCCGGUGCCGGAAGGUUAAUUGAUGGGGUCAGCGCAAGCGAAGCUCCUGAUCGAAGCCCCGGUAAACGGCGGCCGUAACUAUAACGGUCCUAAGGUAGCGAAAUUCCUUGUCGGGUAAGUUCCGACCUGCACGAAUGGCGUAAUGAUGGCCAGGCUGUCUCCACCCGAGACUCAGUGAAAUUGAACUCGCUGUGAAGAUGCAGUGUACCCGCGGCAAGACGGAAAGACCCCGUGAACCUUUACUAUAGCUUGACACUGAACAUUGAGCCUUGAUGUGUAGGAUAGGUGGGAGGCUUUGAAGCGUGGACGCCAGUCUGCGUGGAGCCGACCUUGAAAUACCACCCUUUAAUGUUUGAUGUUCUAACGUGGACCCGUGAUCCGGGUUGCGGACAGUGUCUGGUGGGUAGUUUGACUGGGGCGGUCUCCUCCUAAAGAGUAACGGAGGAGCACGAAGGUUGGCUAAUCCUGGUCGGACAUCAGGAGGUUAGUGCAAUGGCAUAAGCCAGCUUGACUGCGAGCGUGACGGCGCGAGCAGGUGCGAAAGCAGGUCAUAGUGAUCCGGUGGUUCUGAAUGGAAGGGCCAUCGCUCAACGGAUAAAAGGUACUCCGGGGAUAACAGGCUGAUACCGCCCAAGAGUUCAUAUCGACGGCGGUGUUUGGCACCUCGAUGUCGGCUCAUCACAUCCUGGGGCUGAAGUAGGUCCCAAGGGUAUGGCUGUUCGCCAUUUAAAGUGGUACGCGAGCUGGGUUUAGAACGUCGUGAGACAGUUCGGUCCCUAUCUGCCGUGGGCGCUGGAGAACUGAGGGGGGCUGCUCCUAGUACGAGAGGACCGGAGUGGACGCAUCACUGGUGUUCGGGUUGUCAUGCCAAUGGCACUGCCCGGUAGCUAAAUGCGGAAGAGAUAAGUGCUGAAAGCAUCUAAGCACGAAACUUGCCCCGAG